AUAUACAGAGAACUCCCAAAAAGCUGGCUCCAGCCAAGGCCACUGGUGAGACAAGCCUGUGUUAUGCACUUAUAUAAUACACAGGCUUCACCUAGAGAUAGAACAGCUUGAAUUACCAACUGACAAUGUCUCAAGUAGACAAAAGGUGACCAAAUUAAGGAAAGAAACCAGGAUCCUGGGAGCCUAGGAAGCAGAGCUGGUCAUGACAACAUGCAGUUGAUGAUAUGGGGGUGAAAAGCUGAGUAACAGACUGCAAUCUGCAGUGAGCCAAGCUGAAAGGCCCGGGCGGAUGUGAAGGCUGGUGGCAAGGAAAUGGGAAGCGGGCAGCCAAGCUAACCCUGUGUCCACUGAGGGAGUGAGGUGGCCUUGAGCACAGCAGUAUCCCUGGGUCUUACAUCGGCAGGAAAUAGAAGGGGAAGAAGCCUAAAGGAAGUGAAAGUGUUGCUGGAUCUCCUGCUGGCAUUGCCUCCUCUUUCACACAGCAUCCUGGUUCUCCCUGCAGCCACCUGAUCUUCCCUUUGUCCCCUACCUCACCACAGUCCCACCCCCUUCACCACUCCAAGUUGAUGCUUCUCCUACAUCUGGCCAAGACGCUACUCAGAGCUGGAUGAAAGCAAAAGUAAUUGCUCUAAUACAGGUUUUAGGUUUCAGAAACAGAAUUUUCCCGAAUGUUUAAAAUGGUGAAUGGUUCCAUACACUGUGUUAACCAGGCUUCUUAUAAGCUAGUCCCAGAAUCUGCCCACCAUGUGCAAUACUGUUUUUACAAAAAGUGUGCUCCAAGCAAGAACCUUCAAACAUUUAAUCUGAAUGAAUGAAUAUAUCCUUUUCAA